rnacentral:misc_RNA from 1 species
CAUCGCCGGAGGUAAAUAUAAUCUGAAACACGUCGAUCGAUCAGCCUAGUUCACGGAUCGUGGAUGCACACGAGGCCUUGUCCGACCGGCCAAAUAACCUGUCCGUUGCAGCUGCUCGGAGUAAUCCACAGAUGAUUGCACUUCUCCACGGGGAAAACAAACACACCGAGGGACCACGUUAUCGAGUCAACAAACCGCGACUACCGACGAACCGAUUGCGCGCAAAUCACCCAGAUAUUCAUCGGAUAUACACGUGUGGCCGUUCGUAGAUCGUACCAAUGCAUGACACGAACAGCGAAGACACACAUCGAUCGUGUAUCGUCAACAAACCGUCUACUAAUUUUCAUCCCCGAAGCACGCGCCACGACGUCCGAAACUAUACUGCCACUCCCGCGCUGCCGCUCACCGCGCCACGGUCGCGAUAACUGCGCACUCUGCCGGUGUUUCUCGGCUUUGUUAGACGGGACGUCAAAGUGGUAAUUACCAAUCGACCUUGCAUCGACUUUCUGCAAAUCGACGCAACAGGGAAUUAAGGUGUUACGCGAUUAAUUGGAUUCCGGACUGGCCUCG